GGGUCAGUAGGUUGGUCGUGCCACCGGUACGUACUGGUCUCACUGAUUCCUCCUUCCUGAAGAACCGUAAUGCCAUUAAUUUGGUGUUGCGGGGAAACAGGACUGUUACUUUGGAAAAAUUAGAGUGUUUAAAGCAAGCUAACGCUUGGAUACAUUAGCAUGGAAUAAUGAAAUAGGACGAUCGAUCCUAUUUUGUUGGCUUCUAGGAUUGACGUA
rnacentral:rRNA from 1 species